CACGUAGGGUGCGAGCGUUGUCCGGAAUUAUUGGGCGUAAAGAGCUCGUAGGCGGUGUGUCGCGUCGGCCGUGAAAACCUGCAGCUUAACUGUGGGCUUGCGGUCGAUACGGGCAUCACUGGAGUUCGGCAGGGGAGACUGGAAUUCCUGGUGUAGCGGUGAAAUGCGCAGAUAUCAGGAGGGAACACCGGUGGCGAAGGCGGGUCUCUGGGCCGAUACUGACGC
rnacentral:rRNA from 1 species